rnacentral:rRNA from 1 species
AACGAACGCUGGCGGCAUGCCUAACACAUGCAAGUCGAACGAGACCUUCGGGUCUAGUGGCGCACGGGUGCGUAACGCGUGGGAACCUGCCCUUAGGUUCGGAAUAACUCCCCGAAAGGGGUGCUAAUACCGGAUAAUGUCUUCGGACCAAAGAUUUAUCGCCUUUGGAUGGGCCCGCGUUGGAUUAGCUAGUUGGUAGUGUAAAAGCCUACCAAGGCGACGAUCCAUAGCUGGUCUGAGAGGAUGAUCAGCCACACUGGGACUGAGACACGGCCCAGACUCCUACGGGAGGCAGCAGUGGGGAAUAUUGGACAAUGGGCGAAAGGCUGAUCCAGCAAUGCCGCGUGAGUGAUGAAGGCCUUAGGGUUGUAAAGCUCUUUUACCCGGGAUGAUAAUGACAGUACCGGGAGAAUAAGCUCCGGCUAACUCCGUG